CCAAACUGUUGCCUCGGCGGGAUCUCUGCCCCGGGUGCGUCGCAGCCCCGGACCAAGGCGCCCGCCGGAGGACCAACCAAAACUCUUUUUGUAUACCCCCUCGCGGGUUUUUUAUAAUCUGAGCCUUCUCGGCGCCUCUCGUAGGCGUUUCGAAAAUGAAUCAAAACUUUCAACAACGGAUCUCUUGGUUCUGGCAUCGAUGAAGAACGCAGCGAAAUGCGAUAAGUAAUGUGAAUUGCAGAAUUCAGUGAAUCAUCGAAUCUUUGAACGCACAUUGCGCCCGCCAGUAUUCUGGCGGGCAUGCCUGUCCGAGCGUCAUUUCAACCCUCGAACCCCUCCGGGGGGUCGGCGUUGGGGAUCGGCCCUGCCUCUUGGCGGUGGCCGUCUCCGAAAUACAGUGGCGGUCUCGCCGCAGCCUCUCCUGCGCAGUAGUUUGCACACUCGCAUCGGGAGCGCGGCGCGUCCACAGCCGUUAAACACCCAACUUCUGAAAUGUUGACCUCGGAUCAGGUAGGAAUACCCGCUGAACUUAAGCAUAUCAAUAAGUCGGAGGAA
rnacentral:rRNA from 1 species